AAAGCUUUAAGUUAAGUUUAAACUAUUAGCCUUCAAAGUUAAAUUUAUAAUUAUUAUAAGCUUUA
rnacentral:tRNA from 1 species